rnacentral:rRNA from 1 species
GACGAACGCUGGCGGCAUGCUUAACACAUGCAAGUCGAACGGAAAGGCCCUGCUUUUGUGGGGUGCUCGAGUGGCGAACGGGUGAGUAACCCGUGAGUCACCUGGCCUUGACUUUGGGAUAUCUUCAGGAAACCGGGGCUAAUACCGGAUAGGAGCUCGUGCUGCAUGGUGGGGGUUGGACAGUAUCCGCGGAUGGGGAUGGACGGGGGGGUUAACAGCUUGUUGGUGGGGGAGUGGCUUACCAAGGCUUUGGAGGGUAGCCGGCCUUAGAGGGUGAACAGGCACCUUGGGACUACGAGACGGCCCAGACUGCAACAGGAGGCAGCAGGGGGGAAUAUUGCACAAUGGUGGGGAGCGUGUUACGACAACGUCGCGUGCGUGAAGAACUCCAUCGUGUUGGAAACCGCUUUCGGCUGUGACGAAGCGUGAGUGACGUUAAUGGGUAAAGAAGCACCGGCUAACUACGUG